CAGCCAUCUAGACAAUGAGUACUAAGUGUCAAGUGAAAUCGAUCAUCAUCACACUUGAUGAACAUUUCCCAUGUUUCCACGAGGCCAAGUGCAUUGAAGUCUUAAGUGGUAACAAAACCCCAAUAGAAUGAACAGCAUAAGAGUGAUGUCAGUGUCUGAGCUGAAGCAACUGUAGACACACAUUCUAGUGAUAAAGAAAGGUGAUAUCCGUUAAAGAUCCAUUGAUGUUGAUGAAGUACUUUUGAUGGGUAUUGGUCUGUUGUUACAUUUGGAUAAGUGGACAGUAUGCCAUGAUGAGACAGUCAUCCACCUGCAGUCUGCCAUGAGAUGGUCGUCCACCUGCAGUCUGCCAUGAGAUGACCAUCCACCUGCAGUCUGCCACGAGAUGGUUAUUCACCUGCAGUAUGCCAUGAGAUGGCUAUCCACCUGCAGUCUUCCAUGAGAUGGCCAUCCACCUGCAGUCUGCCAUGAUAUGGUCAUGCACAUGCAGUCUGCCAUGAGAUGGACAUCCACCUGCAGUCUGCCAUGAGAUGGGCAUCCACCUGUAUUCUUAUCAGAUGGUCAGCCACCUGUACUCUGCCAUAAGAUGCUCAUCCACCUGCAGCCUUGUAUGAGAUGGUCAUCAACCUGCAGACUGCCAUGAGAUGGUCAUGCUAGCUCUUUGAAAAUUAGCUAUUGACUCA